UACGAGGGGGGCAACUGUUGUUCGGAAUCACUGGGCGUAAAGGGAGCGUAGGCGGGCUCUUAAGUUAGGUGUUUAAUCCCGGGGCCCAACCCCGGACAGGCACCUAAACUGGGAGUCUUGAAUAGUGGAGAGGACGGCGGAAUUGGGGGUGUAGCGGUGGAAUGCGUAGAGAUCCCCAAGAACACCAGUUGCGAAGGCGGCCGUCUGGACACAUAUUGACGCUGAGGCUCGAAAGCAUGGGGAGCAAACAGG
rnacentral:rRNA from 1 species